rnacentral:rRNA from 1 species
AGGGAUUGCCUUAGUAACGGCGAGUGAAGCGGCAACAGCUCAAAUUUGAAAGCUGGCCCUUUCAGGGUCCGCGUUGUAAUUUGUAGAGGAUGAUUCGGCGAGGGCUCCCGCCUAAGUCCCCUGGAACGGGGCGUCAUAGAGGGUGAGAAUCCCGUAUGCGGUGGGCUGCCUUAGCCAUGUGAAUCUCCUUCGACGAGUCGAGUUGUUUGGGAAUGCAGCUCUAAAUGGGAGGUAAAUUUCUUCUAAAGCUAAAUACCGGCCAGAGACCGAUAGCGCACAAGUAGAGUGAUCGAAAGAUGAAAAGCACUUUGGAAAGAGAGUUAAAAAGUACGUGAAAUUGUUGAAAGGGAAGCGCUUGCAACCAGACUUGUCCGCAGUUGCUCAGCCGGUCUCCUGACCGGCGUACUCUUCUGCGGCCAGGCCAGCAUCAGUUCGGGCGGUCGGAUAAAGACCUCGGGAAUGUAGCUCCUCUCGGGGAGUGUUAUAGCCCGGGGUGGAAUGCGGCCAGCCUGGACUGAGGAUCUCGCUUCGGCAAGGAUGCUGGCGUAAUGGUUGUAAGCGGCCCGUCUUGAAACACGGACCAAGGAGUCUAACAUCUAUGCGAGUGUUUGGGUGUCAAACCCAUACGCGUAAUGAAAGUGAACGGAGGUGGGAACCCGCAAGGGUGCACCAUCGGCCGAUCCUGAUGUCUUCGGAUGGAUUUGAGCAAGAGCAUAGCUGUUGGGACCCGAAAGAUGGUGAACUAUGCCUGAAUAGGGUGAAGCCAGAGGAAACUCUGGUGGAGGCUCGCAGCGGUUCUGACGUGCAAAUCGAUCGUCAAAUUUGGGUAUAGGGGCGAAAGACUAAUCGAACCAU